rnacentral:rRNA from 1 species
UACGUAGGGGGCGAGCGUUGUCCGGAUUCAUUGGGCGUAAAGAGCUCGUAGGCGGCUUGGCGAGUCGGGUGUGAAAACUCCAGGCUCAACCUGGAGACGCCACCCGAUACUGCCAUGGCUUGAGUCCGGUAGGGGACCACGGAAUUCCUGGUGUAGCGGUGAAAUGCGCAGAUAUCAGGAGGAACACCGGUGGCGAAGGCGGUGGUCUGGGCCGGUACUGACGCUGAGGAGCGAAAGCGUGGGGAGCGAACAGG